GUAGCCAAGUUGUAGAAUAAACACUAAACAUGAUCUGAUUAGAAUACAGAUCAUAUAUGCACGCUUCGCAUACACGUUUCUGACAACACCCUGCUCUACGUUCUCAUGUUUCUGUUCUGGUAUUUACAACAUCAGCCAUUGAAAUUCCUGCUUACAAGUUUGAGUAUCAUUACGUCAAAACAAGAGGAUUCCGGAAGGUCUAUAAAACGAAAAGUAGGACGAAGCGUAGUAAAACCCUUGUUCGCGAAGAAUGGAACCUGAUUUGUAUAUCAGAUUGAUCAAGCAUAUACAUUUCAUAAACUGAUUGUUCCGUAAGGAAGUCUAAUUGGAGUCAAACAUCUAUCGAUUGUUUGUUUUUAGAUUAGUUCUUGCCACUCUUUAGCAACUACAAUAUUUCAUCAAAUAACUCAAUAAUUACAAACGGUAAACUCCUGGAUUUUUGCAAUGUUUUAAUAUCUUAUUUCGAAAAGACUACGAGAUAAGGAACGAAUUUCUUAAGAAAUACUUAAAAAUCGAUUUUUAGAUUCUUAAAGAAAAUCCUUUAAAACAAAGAUAUAACUGACAGUUAUAGAGAUAAAUAUAAAAAUAAGAAGAUGUGGUAUAAUUGCCAAUGAGACAACUCUCCACCAGAGACCAAAUGACAUAAGUAAACAACUAUAGUUUACCGUACGGCCUUCAACAAUGAGCAAAACCAUAACCGUAAAGGCCCAGAAAUACAAAGACCAUAAAAAACCACAAAUAUCAAAGCCUACAUGUAUACAAGAAACACAUAUAUACAAAGACCACAUAGAUACAAAGACCACAACAUAUAUACAAAUACCAUAUGUAUACAAAAUCACAUAUAUACAAAGAACACAUAUAUACAAAGACCACAUAUAUUUAAGAUACCAUUAUUUGAAUGCUGUAUUUAAUGAAUUCUCUAUAAUUAACUUAGUUUGUUUUUAUCUGAUCAAAUAAUUAUGAAAUUAUAGUGCAUUUAAAACAGGAAUUAUUUGCAAUUUUGAUUAAAUCUAGAACACAUGCUCGAAAAUCCGAAUAGACCUAAGCAGGAAUAUUUAUCAAGCCUAUUGUCAUUCAUUUACUGCGAAUAUCAAUGAAAAUGAAAUUUGAUUUUUAUUACUUGCAGGUAACCAGGUUAAACGUUCAGAUACUAGUAGUACUGUUCCUAUUUUAGCACCUGUGUGUAGUGUAGUGGCUGUACUGGUUGUUUUUUUUUGUACAUUAAUUGUGUAUUUUAGACGUAAAAGAAAACGACCUGAUUACGAGACGCCCACAGCGACGAUUGACAGUCAUAUUUACUAUACUACAGAUUCUGGAGACAGUCACGUGUAUAUGGAGGUGAACGAUGUAACACAAAUAUGAACAUAGCUUAUUGCUUAAAUGGAAAUUGUCCUCACAGUUCUUGAAACUACUCUACUUGACAAAAUAUCAGCUAGUUAUCACAUUGUUAUACUAGCAUACAAAACAAUAUAAUUUGUGCAUGCUUUCCGAAUUUCUGCAGUGUUGAUAGUGACGGUGUACAUAUGUAGCAUUAUAUAUCAAAGAUCAAAAGUCAAUUCACGAGCAGGAAUAAUGAAAAUCCGCAUUCAAAAUGUGCUUGUGUUGUAUUCUGAUUACGUUAUAUUAAUUUAAAAAUUUUAUCCCAUCCUUGGUUCAUAUUUUCUUUUUCAACAUUCAUAGUUUGUAUUAUAGCCAGUAAAUUGUACGCUUUUCAUGCAUAUUGUUAUAUAUAUUUUAAUAUUGUAUUAUGGAGAAGACUGCAUAAGUGCAUUUGACUUGUGUCUAAUACAGUUUGCCAAAAUUUUGCAAAAAUGAAAUAUCUUUAAAUCAAAAGCAGUCUGAGGUACAGUGGCUGACAUUUGAGUAAACGAAGGCGUUAUUUAUAUUAUUUAUUUUUUUUAUAUUAGAAAUUACAAUAAGAUCACAUUGGA